UGCCUUUUGUGUUGCCCACUUAAUCCUUUAAUACAGAUGAGUGAGGCGUCAAAAAAGGCAUAAAAUAACUUGAGCUGUUCCAAGCAUCCUGUUGCUGUUGUACUUCAGGAUAUUGUGAUUCAGCUGAAACAUGG